AGUUGAUAGUAUUUUGUGCAGGAAAGAUAGAAAAUGAAUUGGUUUCAAAGGAAAAUAUAUCUGUACAAUGUGACAUUUGGUUUGUACAUGCUCGACUGGUGGGAACGUUGUCUCUUCAAUAUUUUGGUCCUUGUUUUGCUCUGGUUUAUGUCUUACAAUACCUUUCGAUAUGCUUCCGAUCUCUUCAAUAGGCAAAUUUGGUGAAAGUUCAUCAGCUGUAUCAAGCGUUGUUCUUGACCAUAACUAAGAGAGAUAUGUACGCCACUUUGGUAUUUAACUUGUACGGUUGUUGAAAUUGUUUGCUGUACCAUGGAUAUAGUUGGCUUUGUAUGAAUUCAUCUUACCAGAAAGAUACGUUGCUGUUCUUUACUUAUUCUUUGCCGAUAGAUGACAUUUAAUGUAAUUGUUCGAAUGAUCAAGCAGAUAUAUUUCAAGAAUUUUUCGACUGUUGUG